rnacentral:rRNA from 1 species
UACGUAGGGUGCGAGCGUUGUUCGGAAUUACUGGGCGUAAAGGGCGCGUAGGCGGCCUGUUAAGUCGAACGUGAAAUCCCCGGGCUCAACCCGGGAACUGCGCCCGAUACUGGCAGGCUUGAAUCCGGGAGAGGGAUGCGGAAUUCCAGGUGUAGCGGUGAAAUGCGUAGAUAUCUGGAGGAACACCGGUGGCGAAGGCGGCAUCCUGGACCGGCAUUGACGCUGAGGCGCGAAAGCCAGGGGAGCGAACGGG